AAGUCGUAACAAGGUUUCCGUAGGUGAACCUGCGGAAGGAUCAUUAACACGUAUCCACGUAUUCACCCCUGUGAACUCGUUUUCAACCUCUCCCUUUGACCUCGUCAUGAAGUGCAAUCCAGCUAUGAGCUGAUAUGGGAAGCUUCGGCUUCCACAUAGUCGGAUUGAUCGGAGCUUGCUCCACGCUUGUAGAUGAGUCGAAGGCUCUAUGUCUCUUCUCUCGCAGCAUGCAUCAGCGCUGUGAGUUGGAGGAGAAGAUUACACACACCUUUCACCCCCUUUUUGCUAGUUGACUUUUUAUAUGUGGCGCUGUCCUUAUCAUUCAUUUGAUGAGCAGUUCACACGUUUAAUUACUUGAACGUUAAAAAUACAACUCUUAGCAAUGGAUAUCUUGGUUCUC
rnacentral:misc_RNA from 1 species